rnacentral:rRNA from 1 species
AUUGAACGCUGGCGGCAGGCCUAACACAUGCAAGUCGAGCGAGCGGCGGACGGGUGAGUAAUGUAUGGGGACUGCCCGAUAGCGGGGGCUAACUACUGGAAACGGUGGCUAAUACCGCAUACUAUCGGAUAACCCAUAUGGGAUUAGCUAGUCGGUGGGGUAAAGGCUCACCUAGGCGACGAUCUCUAGCGGGUCUGCGAGGAUGAUCAGCCACAAUGGGAAGGGGACACGGCCCAGAGUCCUACGGAGGCAGCAGUGGGGAAUAUUGCACAAUGGGCGCAAGCCUGAUGCAGCCAUGCCGCGUGUAUGAAGAAGGCCUUAGGGUUGUAAAGUACUGUCAGCGGGGAGGCGUUACCCGCAGAAGAAGCACCGGCUAACUCCGUGCCAGCCGCCGCGGUAAUUC